GAGUAUCGAUCACAUGAUGCAAGGAUUUCAGACAGGUAUCAUGAGCUGCCGGUAAAAGUUAGUUCCUAGUUUCUCUCUCUCUAAAUUUCUUUCUUGAGUCAAAGUCUGCUUCCAUUGCAGGAUCAGUGACCAAGAUUGGACAGGCUUCCAUGAAUCAAAACUUAAUGGUGGUUGCCACCAAGUUCUGUUCACUUCUUUUUGACCUAUAUCCAAGAGUUCUUUGCGAGCCUUGAAGAUUGCCGCCUCCAAGUACCAUUUCGAACUCUUUUAUUUGAGUCUUUAUGAAUCAAGCCUUAAUGGUUUUAGCCACUAAGUCCUGUUCAAACUCAUCCUAAUUAAACAAUAGAUCUUAUUCAUUUAUAUAUAUAUAUAUAUUUUUAUUAUUAUUUUUUUAUUAUUUUUUAUUAUUUUUUUAUUAUUUUUUAUUAUUUUUUUAUAUUAUUUAUUUGAUUUAUUUUUUUUUGUAUUACUCACUAACUAAUCUAGGGUCGAAAUUUAGAGAGAGAGAAAAUGUGAUAAAUAAUCUAAACCAGGCGUUACCUUCCAGACUUGUCUGAAGAAUCUGAUCCCAUGUAUACCAAGCCCCAAGACAAGCGGUUAUGUCAGGUUUAGUGUUGGGAAUCAGCUUUGGUUGCUUUAUGCGUUUCAAGGCAAGUGUGUAGUUGAUAGGUUGAUCUGCUUUAGCAUCUUUAGUGCUAUCUGCAAUCAGUAAAUCUAAAAUGGUGCUAAAGAUUGGUUAGAUAUUCAUGUUUAAAUUAACAUAAGAUUAUAGUCCCUAUUUUCAAUAGCUAAUCAUAAUUUAUUUAAAAUUCCUUUUUACAUAAGAAUAAAAUAAAUUAUAUCAGUAAAUCUCCCCCCAGACUUAAAUUACACUGUCCCAGUGUAACUCAGCCGGAGUUAUGAUGAAAAGUUUAUGAUGUACGAAAUGUAACAAGUAAGGAAGAUACAUCUGACCGGAUUAGAUAUCGAUCGAUCUGA
rnacentral:lncRNA from 1 species